UACACUCCCAACCCUUAUGUGAACCGUACCUAUCGUUGCUUCGGCGGGAACGCCCCGGCGCCCUGCGCCCGGAUCCAGGCGCCCGCCGGAGACCCCAAACUCUUGUGUUUUUUUCAGUAUUCUCUGAGUGGCAAACGCAAAAAUAAAUCAAAACUUUUAACAACGGAUCUCUUGGCUCUGGCAUCGAUGAAGAACGCAGCGAAAUGCGAUAAGUAAUGUGAAUUGCAGAAUUCAGUGAAUCAUCGAAUCUUUGAACGCACAUUGCGCCCGUUAGCAUUCUAGCGGGCAUGCCUGUCCGAGCGUCAUUUCAACCCUCAGGGUCCCCGUUCCGGCGGGGAACCUGGUGUUGGGGAUCGGCCCGCCCCGCGCGGCGCCGUCCCCCAAAUUCAGUGGCGGUCUCGCUGCAGCCUCCCCUGCGUAGUAGUUACAACCUCGCAUCGGAGCUCAGCGCGGCCACGCCGUAAAACCCCCGACUUUCUGAACGUUGACCUCGGAUCAGGUAGGAAUACCCGCUGAACUUAAGCAUAUCAA
rnacentral:rRNA from 1 species